UACGUAGGGUGCGAGCGUUGUCCGGAAUUAUUGGGCGUAAAGAGCUCGUAGGCGGUUUGUCGCGUCUGCUGUGAAAACUCGGGGCUUAACUCCGGGCCUGCAGUGGGUACGGGCAGACUAGGGUGCGGUAGGGGAGACUGGAAUUCCUGGUGUAGCGGUGAAAUGCGCAGAUAUCAGGAGGAACACCGGUGGCGAAGGCGGGUCUCUGGGCCGUAACUGACGCUGAGGUGCGAAAGCGUGGGGAGCAAACAGG
rnacentral:rRNA from 1 species